GAUGAACGCUGGCGGCGUGCCUAAUACAUGCAAGUCGAGCGAACAGACGAGGAGCUUGCUCCUCUGACGUUAGCGGCGCACGUGUGAGUAACACGUGUAUAACCUACCUAUAAUUCGGGUAUAACUUCGGGAAACCGGAGCUAAUACCGGAUGAUAUAUUGAACCGCAUUGUUCAAUAGUGAAAGACGGUGUUUCUGUCACUUAUAGAUGGAUCCGCGCCGCAUUAGCUAGUUGGUAAGGUAACGGCUUACCAAGGCAACGAUGCGUAGCCGACCUGAGAGGGUGAUCGGCCACACUGGAACUGAGACGCGGUCCAGACUCCUACGGGAGGCAGCAGUAGGGAAUCUUACGCAAUGGGCGAAAGCCUGACGGAGCAACGCCGAGUGAGUGAUGAAGGUCUUCGGAUCGUAAAACUCUGUUAUUAGGGAAGAACAAAUGUGUAAGUAACUAUGCACGUAUUGACGGUACCUAAUAAGAAAGCCACGGCUAACUACGUG
rnacentral:rRNA from 1 species